CCUACGGGAGGCAGCAGUAGGGAAUCUUUCACAAUGGGCGAAAGCCUGAUGGAGCAACGCCGCGUGCAGGAUGAAGGCCUUCGGGUUGUAAACUGCUUUUAUAAGCGAGAAAUAUGAUGGUAACUUAUGAAUAAGGAUCGGCUAACUACGUGCCAGCAGCCGCGGUCAUACGUAGGAUCCGAGCAUUAUCCGGAGUGACUGGGUGUAAAGAGUUGCGUAGGUGGCAUAAUAAGUAGCUAGUGAAAUCUGGUGGCUCAACCAUUCAGACUAUUAGCUAAACUGUUAAGCUCGAGACCGUUAGGGGUAACUGGAAUGUCUAGAGUAGGAGUGAAAUCCGUAGAUAUUAGAAGGAACACCAAUAGCGUAGGCAGGUUGCUGGGACGGUUCUGACACUAAGGCACGAAAGCGUAGGGAGCAAACGGGAUUAGAUACCCGAGUAGUC
rnacentral:rRNA from 1 species